rnacentral:rRNA from 1 species
GCGGGACACGUGGUAUCCUGUCUGAAUAUGGGGGGACCAUCCUCCAAGGCUAAAUACUCCUGACUGACCGAUAGUGAACCAGUACCGUGAGGGAAAGGCGAAAAGAACCCCGGCGAGGGGAGUGAAAAAGAACCUGAAACCGUGUACGUACAAGCAGUGGGAGCCUCUUAAUGGGGUGACUGCGUACCUUUUGUAUAAUGGGUCAGCGACUUAUAUUCUGUAGCAAGGUUAACCGAAUAGGGGAGCCGAAGGGAAACCGAGUCUUAACUGGGCGUUAAGUUGCAGGGUAUAGACCCGAAACCCGGUGAUCUAGCCAUGGGCAGGUUGAAGGUUGGGUAACACUAACUGGAGGACCGAACCGACUAAUGUUGAAAAAUUAGCGGAUGACUUGUGGCUGGGGGUGAAAGGCCAAUCAAACCGGGAGAUAGCUGGUUCUCCCCGAAAGCUAUUUAGGUAGCGCCUCGUGAAUUCAUCUCCGGGGGUAGAGCACUGUUUCGGCAAGGGGGUCAUCCCGACUUACCAACCCGAUGCAAACUGCGAAUACCGGAGAAUGUUAUCACGGGAGACACACGGCGGGUGCUAACGUCCGUCGUGAAGAGGGAAACAACCCAGACCGCCAGCUAAGGUCCCAAAGUCAUGGUUAAGUGGGAAACGAUGUGGGAAGGCCCAGACAGCCAGGAUGUUGGCUUAGAAGCAGCCAUCAUUUAAAGAAAGCGUAAUAGCUCACUGGUCGAGUCGGCCUGCGCGGAAGAUGUAACGGGGCUAAACCAUGCACCGAAGCUGCGGCAGCGACACUAUGUGUUGUUGGGUAGGGGAGCGUUCUGUAAGCCUGUGAAGGUGGCCUGUGAGGGUUGCUGGAGGUAUCAGAAGUGCGAAUGCUGACAUAAGUAACGAUAAAGCGGGUGAAAAGCCCGCUCGCCGGAAGACCAAGGGUUCCUGUCCAACGUUAAUCGGGGCAGGGUGAGUCGACCCCUAAGGCGAGGCCGAAAGGCGUAGUCGAUGGGAAACAGGUUAAUAUUCCUGUACUUGGUGUUACUGCGAAGGGGGGACGGAGAAGGCUAUGUUGGCCGGGCGACGGUUGUCCCGGUUUAAGCGUGUAGGCUGGUUUUCCAGGCAAAUCCGGAAAACCAAGGCUGAGGCGUGAUGACGAGGCACUACGGUGCUGAAGCGACAAAUGCCCUGCUUCCAGGAAAAGCCUCUAAGCAUCAGGUAACAUCAAAUCGUACCCCAAACCGACACAGGUGGUCAGGUAGAGAAUACCAAGGCGCUUGAGAGAACUCGGGUGAAGGAACUAGGCAAAAUGGUGCCGUAACUUCGGGAGAAGGCACGCUGAUAUGUAGGUGAAGCGACUUGCUCGUGGAGCUGAAAUCAGUCGAAGAUACCAGCUGGCUGCAACUGUUUAUUAAAAACACAGCACUGUGCAAACACGAAAGUGGACGUAUACGGUGUGACGCCUGCCCGGUGCCGGAAGGUUAAUUGAUGGGGUUAGCGGUAACGCGAAGCUCUUGAUCGAAGCCCCGGUAAACGGCGGCCGUAACUAUAACGGUCCUAAGGUAGCGAAAUUCCUUGUCGGGUAAGUUCCGACCUGCACGAAUGGCGUAAUGAUGGCCAGGCUGUCUCCACCCGAGACUCAGUGAAAUUGAACUCGCUGUGAAGAUGCAGUGUACCCGCGGCAAGACGGAAAGACCCCGUGAACCUUUACUAUAGCUUGACACUGAACAUUGAGCCUUGAUGUGUAGGAUAGGUGGGAGGCUUUGAAGUGUGGACGCCAGUCUGCAUGGAGCCGACCUUGAAAUACCACCCUUUAAUGUUUGAUGUUCUAACGUUGGCCCGUAAUCCGGGUUGCGGACAGUGUCUGGUGGGUAGUUUGACUGGGGCGGUCUCCUCCUAAAGAGUAACGGAGGAGCACGAAGGUUGGCUAAUCCUGGUCGGACAUCAGGAGGUUAGUGCAAUGGCAUAAGCCAGCUUGACUGCGAGCGUGACGGCGCGAGCAGGUGCGAAAGCAGGUCAUAGUGAUCCGGUGGUUCUGAAUGGAAGGGCCAUCGCUCAACGGAUAAAAGGUACUCCGGGGAUAACAGGCUGAUACCGCCCAAGAGUUCAUAUCGACGGCGGUGUUUGGCACCUCGAUGUCGGCUCAUCACAUCCUGGGGCUGAAGUAGGUCCCAAGGGUAUGGCUGUUCGCCAUUUAAAGUGGUACGCGAGCUGGGUUUAGAACGUCGUGAGACAGUUCGGUCCCUAUCUGCCGUGGGCGCUGGAGAACUGAGGGGGGCUGCUCCUAGUACGAGAGGACCGGAGUGGACGCAUCACUGGUGUUCGGGUUGUCAUGCCAAUGGCACUGCCCGGUAGCUAAAUGCGGAAGAGAUAAGUGCUGAAAGCAUCUAAGCACGAAACUUGCCCCGAGAUGAGUUCUCCCUGACUCCUUGAGAGUCCUGAAGGAACGUUGAAGACGACGACGUUGAUAGGCCGGGUGUGUAAGCGCAGCGAUGCGUUGAGCUAACCGGUACUAAUGAACCGUGAGGCUUAACCUU